rnacentral:lncRNA from 1 species
CUAAAAAUAGUUUUCAAAGACUUAUAUAUAUGUAUAUGUUCACAUUUAAGGUUUUCUACAAUAAACACACAAAAUAUUUAUUUACAGUGAAGAGUUACAAUGUCAGCAUCUAAAUUUGCUAUAUUUUAUAUUGUUCUGGUGUUUCUUGCUAGUUGUCAUGAAUGUAUGUCAUAUAUUUCUUACAUUUCGUCUAAUCCCUUUUUAUCAUUAUCAUUAAAAUAAUAAUAAUAUCCUCUAUCAUCUUUUUAAUUUUUGUAAGUUUUAAAUUUUAUACAGGUGCCGACCUCAACAGAGGGCCCAAACCAACAUGCUCUAAAACACCAAAGAAUGUUUGGUGUUGCAGCAACAAUUCACACUGUCGGGAAACCAAAGCGCUAUGUGAGAAGAUUUGUUGGGUCCGCGGUUGAAUUUUUCUGAAGAGAACUUCUAUAAUUAUUUAUUCCAAAUAUUUUUGUACUU